AAAAAGAAAGGUUAAGUGUACACCUAAAAAAAAUAAAAACGAUUUAAAAAAUUAAACAGAAAAUUAAAACAAACUCUCAAUUUGAUCACAGCUAGAAUCCAAUCAGCAUAUGCGCAAUAGAUGCACCAAUUCCAGACCUCAGAAAAGUGGCUUCCAAAACCCAUCAACUAUCCCAAUUUCCUUUUCUCUUCCCACUCACAGGCCACCUAUUGAACAUCACCCAGUUAGGUUCUUUCCUUCUCUGCAGAUCCAUCUCCGAUGUUCCUUGCUCAGGGACCCUUCUGAUCAGGUAUGCUCGCGAUUCUUCUCUCAUCGCCACUCUAACUAAAUUGUGAGCCACUAGAUUUGCAGAUUUGUAUGUAUGUUGAAAGGCUAUUUGGUGAAAAUAUUACUUUUUCUACUGAACGUUUCGUAUUAUACCCACAAUCAUUGAUUUAUCAAUCUUAUUUGAUUUUCUUUUUUUAUUACUGAUACUGAGUCUCCUUCGAUAACAACUGAUGUGGACCCCAUCUGUUUUCCCAUGAACACUACUUGGAGGCACACAAUGGCAUCUGCCGCAAACGAAAAGGCCACUUCCGGUGAACCACUAUUUUGAAGGCGAGGAUCUCCCCCGAAACAUUUCUAGCCACCAACCUUGAGACUAAUUUUGCCCGAGAUUCAUCAAAAGUAGAAUCGAAAUUAAGUUUGACAAUGGAACCAGCUGGUGGGCACCAACUCAUACACUCAUACCUCAUGAUUGCCCACAAAAAGCAGCAAAACACUUGACAUUGUAUACUGGAAUUAUUCUUGAACACCCAGAUCCAGGGAGCCACAUAUCAGCAACAAAUGAAAAAUUUUGACCCGUUCUCACCCGCCAACAAAUCCCAUCCUUCAGCAAUCCUUUAGCUUCCCAUACACUCUUCCAGAUAUACGAAGGUAGUCGUCUUAACUCAGAAUAAAGAAAAUUUGUAUUUGGAAAGUACUUAGCCUUUAGAACUUUUGUUAAUAUUAAAUCUAGAUAAUUAAGAAUACACCAACCUUAUUUAGCUAAUAA